rnacentral:rRNA from 1 species
AUUGAACGCUGGCGGCAGGCUUAACACAUGCAAGUCGAACGAGUGGCGGACGGGUGAGUAAUGCUUGGGAAUCUAGCUUAUGGAGGGGGAUAACUACGGGAAACUGUAGCUAAUACCGCGUACCAUAGGAUGAGCCCAAGUGGGAUUAGGUAGUUGGGGAGGUAACGGCUCACCAAGCCGAAGAUCUCUAGCUGGUCUGAGAGGAUGACAAUCAACACUGGGACUGAGACACGGCCCAGACUUCUAUGGGAGGCAGAAGUGGGGAAAAUUGCGCAAUGGGGGUAAGUUGAUGCAGCCAUGCCGCGUGUAUGAAGAAGGCCUUCGGGUUGUAAAGUUCUUUCGAUAGCGAGGCGUUAACUACAGAAGAAGCACCGGCUAAAUCCGUACCAGCAGCCGCGGUAAUAC